rnacentral:rRNA from 1 species
UACAGGGGGGGGCAAGCGUUGUUCGGAAUUACUGGGCGUAAAGGGCCAGUAGGCGGCCAACUAAGUCGAACGUGAAAUCCCCGAGCUCAACUCGGGAACUGCGUCCGAUACUGGUGGGCUUGAAUCCGGGAGAGGGAUGCGGAAUUCCAGGUGUAGCGGUGAAAUGCGUAGAUAUCUGGAGGAACACCGGUGGCGAAGGCGGCAUCCUGGACCGGCAUUGACGCUGAGGCGCGAAAGCUAGGGGAGCAAACGGGG